UGGUUCCUUGGUCAGGCCCCGCAGGCAGAUCUCCAUGACGGUCAUCAUCGACUCGCCAGAGCAUCAUUUGCUCACGGCUGGGUCGACGAAGUUCCUCCUCUUGCUCAGUCCUUCUUCUGCCAGUGCCGAUUGCAAAUGGUGGUCAAUGAACAGUAAAAGUUGGGUUUAGACUUUAUUCAGAAAUGAGGCAUUGUCAAGUGUAUAGGGUUAACAAGGAAAGGAAGCAUACCUGUUCUUUCAUUAUCUCUACCUGAACUGAUGGGCCUUAUCUCUACCUGUUCUUUCACAAGUAGAAGCACCUGGUUUUUAAAUGUUAACAAAGGCCACAAAAUUUUGAAAUCUCAUUUAAGCUUGGCUUCUCCAUGACUCCCCCCAUAGACUGGUAAUGUCAAGGUCACUGUUUUAAUUUGUGAAAAUGCAGUACAAAUAAAAAAUCUGAAAUUUGCCUACACCUUAUUUUGGCCUGACCCAAAUUAACAAAAAGUAGACAUCAUGCAAAUUAUUUACCUCAAGGUGAAACACAUUUAGAGAUCCAUUCUUGACAAACUUUUUUCUUAUCCUAUGGAACCACAUACUGGACCAGACACACACGCACUAUGGACUCCCACUGGUAACAGCAUUGAAUUGCCCACAUAUAUGAGGAAUGACGAGGGAAGAAAGCUGCAGAAGCUGCUGUAGCUGCCAAACAUGCCACGGCUAAAUACAUGGAUUCUUUCAAUGUUUCUCGCAUAGGCACCUGAGUACACAAAAAUAGAUAAAAUAAUGCAUCAACUAAAAAGAGUCAAAACAAGCAGAGCAGAUCGCGAACAAAAACAAAUCAAGAAAGGGUUCAUACAGAGAAGGGAAAGAGGCGAUUAAGGGUAAGAAUACCAGCAGGCUCCACAACAACUAUAGAUACCAUGACACCAUGUCGAGCAUAUGUAGUUCUUGAUAGGAAAAACCUUUACCAAAAUAAGAUAUCAAUGUACCGACGACACUAACAAUUUUGGAUAUUAGCUGCCAAGCUGAUUAUGUGAUAUUUGCCCAGAUUAGAAAUUAUGUAAGAUAUAACAAAAAGGGAGGCACACAUGAAUCAUUUCUUCUGCUGGAGGCAAAGAAUCUAAGGCCUAAUACCUGUAUCCCAAAUUCUUCCUCUCUUUAUCAGAAAAAUCAAGGAAUCAAAAUCAGAUUAUGAUGAGGACGUGCAACCUGGAUGGUGGACAGGGGACGACGACCAGUGAGCAACGACCCAUCAAUCAUGGCCCGCGACACCUCUCCACUCCACCUAA
rnacentral:lncRNA from 1 species